UGGAGUCGUUAAAAUUCCCAUGUCAAUAGCAAGAGCAUCAACAAUUGAAUUGAUUCCUUGUUUAGCGGCUUCAAGAAGAGAUUCACCACUAGGCCUUGUGUCUCUUCCCAACAAUAUCUCUGCUGACCGCACUCCAUCAAAAGGGAUGUUUUCCUUCUUUACAAAUUCAUCUAUCAACUGAAGAAGAUGUUGGGGAGUGGCAGCAUUGGCGAUAGCAUCAGCGAAAGGUUCCCAGUCUGGAGUGAGCAUACCACCACUUGGGUCAGCAACUUUGAUUCCA
rnacentral:misc_RNA from 1 species